GAUGCGAAUCUCGAAAGCCUGUCUCAGUUCGGAUUGGAGGCUGAAACCCGCCUCCAUGAAGUUGGAUUCGCUAGUAAUCGCGCAUCAGCCAUGGCGCGGUGAAUACGUUCCCGGGCCUUGUACACACCGCCCGUCACACCAUGGGAGUUUGUAACGCCCAAAGUCGGUGGCCUAACCUUUAUGGAGGGAGCCGCCUAAGGCGGGACAGAUGACUGGGGUGAAGUCGUAACAAGGUACC
rnacentral:rRNA from 1 species